UCUCUAGUCAAGCAUGGUUUAUGGUGCCAAAUAAGUGCCAGGUGAACUCACUACAUCUGACAAAAUCUCAAGGAACCAAGUUUACCAGAUAAUAUUUAUGAUUAUGUGAAAAAGACUGAGGAAAUCACUCUAGUGAUCCAUCAUACAGCACCUCCAGUUCCAAAGAAUACUGACUUACUUCAGCUGUACUGGUCUGGAGCUGCACAUUCUUUUCAGACAACUCUUGUUCCAAUAAGUUCAGGCUAGAGUGCAAUGGUGCAACCUCAGCUCACUGCAACCUCCGCUUCCCAGGUUCAAGCGAUUCUCCUGCUUCAGCCUCCCUGGUUGCUGGGAUUACAGGCGCUCGUCACCACGCGCAGCUAAUUUUUUGUAUUUUUAGUAGAGACGGGGUUUUACCAUGUUGGCCAGGCUGGUCUCGAACUCCUGACCUCAGGUGAUCCACCCGCCUCAGCCCCCCAAAGUUCUGAGAUUACAGACAUGAGACACCACACCCGACUGGGGUAUUCAUUUUCUAAAAUCUUAAGUUGAAUGCCUUUUUUUAAAAAAAAAGUCUAUUUAAACUCUGAGUUUACUACCAAGGAUUGCCUUGACUAGAUUUUCAGAGGCAGUAUUUUUCUUUUUUCUUAUUUUCUAAAUUGAACUUUUCUUUCUUGGCUCACAUUCUACAUUGUAGAAUUAUGUUACAAUUUACUAGGGGUCGAGAUGUGGUGUGUUUAAACAUAUGAUUGUUUGGCUUAAACAUAUAAUUUGUUUUUACUCGUAUU
rnacentral:antisense_RNA from 1 species